rnacentral:rRNA from 1 species
AGAGCGAACGCUGGCGGCAGGCCUAACACAUGCAAGUCGAGCGCCCGUAGCAAUACGGGAGCGGCAGACGGGAUAGUAACACGUGGGAACGCGCCCUUCGGUUCGGAAUAACUCAGGGAAACUUGAGCUAAUACCGGAUACGCCCUUACGGGGAAAGAUUUAUUGCCGAAGGAACGGCCCGCGUCCGAUUAGCUAGUUGGUGAGGUAAUGGCUCACCAAGGCGACGAUCGGUAGCUGGUCUGAGAGGAUGACCAGCAUCACUGGGACUGAGGCACGGCCCAGACUCCUACGGGAGGCAGCAGUGGGGAAUAUUGGACAAUGGGCGCAAGCCUGAUCCAGCCAUGCCGCGUGGAUGAUGAAGGCCUUAGGGUUGUAAAGUCCUUUUAACGGGGAAGAUAAUGACGGUACCCGUAGAAUAAGCCCCGGCUAACUUCGUGCCAGCAGCCGC